GUGCUUGCUUCUGCAGCAUAUAUACUAAAAAAUUAGAAUGAUACAGAGGAGAUAAGCAUGGCCCCUGUGCAAGGAUGACAUGCAAAUUCGUGAAGCGUUCCAUAUUUUU